rnacentral:tRNA from 1 species
AGGGUAAUAGCUCAGUGGUAGAGCACGUGCUUAGCAUGCACGAAGUCCUGGGUUCAAUCCCCAGUACCUCCA